rnacentral:tRNA from 1 species
CUCCUAAAUUGCAUUGAUUUAUACUAAAGAUUUCAUUUUAAUUGGAAUUUGGUUAUUCACCAUGUACGAGGAUC